rnacentral:rRNA from 1 species
AAAUUGAAGAGUUUGAUCAUGGCUCAGAUUGAACGCUGGCGGCAGGCCUAACACAUGCAAGUCGAGCGGUAGCACAGAGAGCUUGCUCUCGGGUGACGAGCGGCGGACGGGUGAGUAAUGUCUGGGAAACUGCCUGAUGGAGGGGGAUAACUACUGGAAACGGUAGCUAAUACCGCAUAAUGUCGCAAGACCAAAGUGGGGGACCUUCGGGCCUCAUGCCAUCAGAUGUGCCCAGAUGGGAUUAGCUAGUAGGUGGGGUAACGGCUCACCUAGGCGACGAUCCCUAGCUGGUCUGAGAGGAUGACCAGCCACACUGGAACUGAGACACGGUCCAGACUCCUACGGGAGGCAGCAGUGGGGAAUAUUGCACAAUGGGCGCAAGCCUGAUGCAGCCAUGCCGCGUGUGUGAAGAAGGCCUUCGGGUUGUAAAGCACUUUCAGCGGGGAGGAAGGCGGUAAGGUUAAUAACCUUGUCGAUUGACGUUACCCGCAGAAGAAGCACCGGCUAACUCCGUGCCAGCAGCCGCGGUAAUACGGAGGGUGCAAGCGUUAAUCGGAAUUACUGGGCGUAAAGCGCACGCAGGCGGUCUGUCAAGUCGGAUGUGAAAUCCCCGGGCUCAACCUGGGAACUGCAUUCGAAACUGGCAGGCUAGAGUCUUGUAGAGGGGGGUAGAAUUCCAGGUGUAGCGGUGAAAUGCGUAGAGAUCUGGAGGAAUACCGGUGGCGAAGGCGGCCCCCUGGACAAAGACUGACGCUCAGGUGCGAAAGCGUGGGGAGCAAACAGGAUUAGAUACCCUGGUAGUCCACGCCGUAAACGAUGUCGAUUUGGAGGUUGUGCCCUUGAGGCGUGGCUUCCGGAGCUAACGCGUUAAAUCGACCGCCUGGGGAGUACGGCCGCAAGGUUAAAACUCAAAUGAAUUGACGGGGGCCCGCACAAGCGGUGGAGCAUGUGGUUUAAUUCGAUGCAACGCGAAGAACCUUACCUGGUCUUGACAUCCACAGAACUUUCCAGAGAUGGAUUGGUGCCUUCGGGAACUGUGAGACAGGUGCUGCAUGGCUGUCGUCAGCUCGUGUUGUGAAAUGUUGGGUUAAGUCCCGCAACGAGCGCAACCCUUAUCCUUUGUUGCCAGCGGUCCGGCCGGGAACUCAAAGGAGACUGCCAGUGAUAAACUGGAGGAAGGUGGGGAUGACGUCAAGUCAUCAUGGCCCUUACGACCAGGGCUACACACGUGCUACAAUGGCAUAUACAAAGAGAAGCGACCUCGCGAGAGCAAGCGGACCUCAUAAAGUAUGUCGUAGUCCGGAUUGGAGUCUGCAACUCGACUCCAUGAAGUCGGAAUCGCUAGUAAUCGUAGAUCAGAAUGCUACGGUGAAUACGUUCCCGGGCCUUGUACACACCGCCCGUCACACCAUGGGAGUGGGUUGCAAAAGAAGUAGGUAGCUUAACCUUCGGGAGGGCGCUUACCACUUUGUGAUUCAUGACUGGGGUGAAGUCGUAACAAGGUAACCGUAGGGGAACCUGCGGUUGGAUCACCUCCUUACCUUAAAGAA